rnacentral:ncRNA from 1 species
CUUGGUGGCUUUACUGGCGGUAAUGUGAGCAGGACAUACCGGCCAAAUAGCUUGGUUUCUCGAUGAAUUAACGUGGGGUACCCCUAGGAACCGCUUCGGUCCUUACUAUGGGAGCAGCGUUUGCGCGCAUAAUUGAAGGUGAAAGCGAUCGAGCCAUGGUGGCUUUCUAUGAAAGCAGCGCGUGUGCGCGCAUAAUUGAAGGUGAAAGCGAUCGAGCCUUGGUGGCUUUACUGGCGGUAAUGUGAGCACGAUAUGCCGGCCAAAAAGCUUGGUUUCUCGAUGAAUUAACGUGGGGUACCCAUAGGAACCGCUUCGGUCCUUACUAUGGGAGCAGCGUGUGCGCGCAUAAUUGAAGGUGAAAGCGAUCGAGCCAUGGUGGCUUUACCGGCGGUAAUGUGAGCACGACAUGCCGGCCAAAAAUCUUGGUUUCUCGAUGAAUUAACGUGGGGUACCACUAGGUAUCGCUUCGGUUCUUACUAUGAGGGCAGCGCGUGUGCGCGCAUAAUUGAAGGUGAAAGCGAUCGAGCCUUGGUGGCUUUAGUGGCGGUAAUGUGAGCAAGAUAUGACGGCCAAAUAGCUUGGUUUCUCGGUGAAUUAACGUGGGGUACCCGUAUAGAGGUCCGCGCGUGCGCGCAUAAUUAAAGGUGAACGUGCAUGAAUGCGCAUGAAUGGAUUAACGAGAUUCCUGAUGUCCCUGUCUACUAUCUAGCGAAACCACAGGCAAGGAUAGGACUUGGCAGAAUUAGAUUGAUUUUGAUCUUCAGUAUGAAUACAGACCGCGAUAGCGUGGCCUAUCGAUCCUUUUUUGAACUCGCGAGUUUCAAGGAAGUGGUGCCAGAAAAUUUACCACAGGGAUAACUGGCUUGUGGCACCAAAGCGUUCAUAGCGACGUUGCCUUUUGAUCCUUGGACGGAGUAGGAUAGGAUAUGCAUGUUUAUCCCCGUGAAUGGGAAAACCCCAGGGGUUAUCACACGGGCAAUCGUCAGAUCACCUCGCGCCCAUCGUCGGGUUACCGGAGCUAUUGCAGUGUGUUGUAUGUGAU